GAUCAACACCAAUGUCUACACUUGAGUCAAAAUGCAGUGAUGCAUCAAGGUCCACAAAGGGAAUGUAAUUAGACUAAAAUCCAGUACCCUCAGUGAGAGAUCAUUUGCCUUUGGAAGUUGUUAUCAUAACAGCAAGAACGUUCUCAAAUUGUACUCCUUGAAAAACUCAGGUUCAACAAAUGUUUUGAAAAAGCUUUUGUUUCCAGGUUUGGCUUCAACAUCAAUUAUCUCAUGUAAUGAAUGUCCUUUAUAUUAAAGGUGGUGCUGGCAUAAAGAUCUUUUCCUUAAGAUCAAAUUUGUAGGUAUGAAAAAUCUCGGUGAAGAUCAUCCCAUAAGGAAGAAUAAAUUUUUCAGCCUCUUCUUUUCUUUGCUUCAUUUUUUUGGAAAUACAGAAUGUUGGAACAUGUUGUGAAACACCUUGUAUUCCAUCUUGAGAGUUGAUGAAAGAGAUUUUUCCAUUUAAGUACCAUAUGCAUUGAUGUCUCCAUGAUUAAAUCAUUUAUUCACAAUUUCAAAGCGGUGUACCAAUACCAUUGUUCAUUCCAAUGAAAAAGUUCUUAUAAUUGAGAGCUAUGAUCUUAUGAU
rnacentral:lncRNA from 1 species